AGAGUUUGAUCCUGGCUCAGGACGAACGCUGGCGGUGUGCUUAACACAUGCAAGUCGAACGGUAAGGCCCUUUCGGGGGUACACGAGUGGCGAACGGGUGAGUAACACGUGAGUAACCUGCCCUCAUCUCUGGGAUAACAGUCGGAAACGGUUGCUAAUACUGGAUAUGAGCCUGCAAGGCAUCUUGUGGGUUGGAAAGAUUUUUUGGUUGGGGAUGGACUCGCGGCCUAUCAGCUUGUUGGUGAGGUAGUGGCUCACCAAGGCUUCGACGGGUAGCCGGCCUGAGAGGGCGACCGGCCACAUUGGGACUGAGAUACGGCCCAAACUCCUACGGGAGGCAGCAGUGGGGAAUAUUGCACAAUGGACGGAAGUCUGAUGCAGCAACGCCGCGUGCGGGAUGACGGCCUUCGGGUUGUAAACCGCUUUCAAUUGUGACGAAGCUUUUUGUGACGGUAGCAGUAGAAGAAGCACCGGCUAACUACGUGCCAGCAGCCGCGGUGAUACGUAGGGUGCGAGCGUUGUCCGGAUUUAUUGGGCGUAAAGAGCUUGUAGGCGGUUUGUCGCGUCGGGAGUGAAAACUUGGGGCUUAACCCUGAGCUUGCUUUCGAUACGGGCUGACUUGAGGGAGGUAGGGGAGAAUGGAAUUCCUGGUGGAGCGGUGGAAUGCGCAGAUAUCAGGAGGAACACCGGUGGCGAAGGCGGUUCUCUGGACCUUUCCUGACGCUGAGAAGCGAAAGCGUGGGGAGCGAACAGGCUUAGAUACCCUGGUAGUCCACGCCGUAAACGGUGGGUACUAGGUGUGGGGGACAUUCCACGUUCUCCGUGCCGUAGCUAACGCAUUAAGUACCCCGCCUGGGGAGUACGGCCGCAAGGCUAAAACUCAAAGAAAUUGACGGGGGCCCGCACAAGCGGCGGAGCAUGCGGAUUAAUUCGAUGCAACGCGAAGAACCUUACCAAGGCUUGACAUACGCUGGGACGGUGCAGAGAUGUGCUGGCUUUUGCUGGUGUACAGGUGGUGCAUGGUUGUCGUCAGCUCGUGUCGUGAGAUGUUGGGUUAAGUCC
rnacentral:rRNA from 1 species